rnacentral:rRNA from 1 species
AGCGAACGCUGGCGGUAGGCCUAACACAUGCAAGUCGAACGGCAGCACAGGAGAGCUUGCUCUCUGGGUGGCGAGUGGCGGACGGGUGAGGAAUACAUCGGAAUCUACUUUUUCGUGGGGGAUAACGUAGGGAAACUUACGCUAAUACCGCAUACGACCUACGGGUGAAAGCAGGGGACCUUCGGGCCUUGCGCGAUUGAAUGAGCCGAUGUCGGAUUAGCUAGUUGGCGGGGUAAAGGCCCACCAAGGCGACGAUCCGUAGCUGGUCUGAGAGGAUGGUCAGCCACACUGGAACUGAGACACGGUCCAGACUCCUACGGGAGGCAGCAGUGGGGAAUAUUGGACAAUGGGCGCAAGCCUGAUCCAGCCAUACCGCGUGGGUGAAGAAGGCCUUUGGGUUGUAAAGCCCUUUUGUUGGGAAAGAAAUCCAGCUGGCUAAUACCCGGUUGGGAUGACAGUACCCAAAGAAUAAGCACCGGCUAACUUCGUGCCAGCAGCCGCCGCCG